CACACUAAUGAAGCAUCAGUUUUCCUCUAUUGCACUGCUGUACCAUGGACUUCCCUUCUUUGCCCUGCACUGACAGCAAGUCUGAGGUCUGAGCUCCAGUGCUAAAGCCAGGAUUUGUGGAUUGAUGACAGCAUCCCACUGACAGGCUGAGGUACAGGAAGACUUGCUAAAAGCCAAGUGGAGAUCCCAUCAGGAGAGCUCCUGAGGCAGUCCUGCUCUCCUCUGCCUCUCCCCCAAGGAAUGCAGGUCCUGACCACACACACUCUCCAUACAGAACCUCUGCCUUGAACUUUGUGCCUCAGGCUUCAGCUUUGUGAGCCCUUAGCCCUUCUGCAGCUGCCUCAGGCCACACACAGUCAUGAGACUCUGCAGGAGGUGACAAGGCUGGCACUGGCUCUGGGAAUCCCUCUCCUGUAUGGAGUUAAACAGGUGAUGUGCUGAGGUCUGGCACUGCCAGACUUAGACCCACCACAAACUCAAGACAACAUUGUGGACCAUUGGUGUCUCCCUGCUCUGAGCUAUCUCAGCUGGAAAGGCUUUUGGAAAUGAAAACAAGUGGAAAUGUAGCCUCUGGACUUGUUACUACUGUUACUAAAAAGCCUCAGGCAUCCAGGCUCUGGCCUGGUUGGCCAGUUGCUCUGCGCUGCUGAGGAUGCUCUGCUCCUUUCACUAGAAAGCAAAAGCAGUUUUGUGCCCAAGAGCUGAUAGACUUUCCUCUUGUUUGUUGUUGGUCUCCUCCACUGCCUUCCCCUGCCAGGGGGGAGCAAAGGGUGGUGCAGCCUGUGGGUUUAACUGGACACCAUCCCUUUAAUGUGGAGUUGUGUUUUUCUCUCAAGGCCAAAAAUAAAUGCUGCUGAAGGACUAAACAGACAUGAAAAGAAGGCUUGGACACUUGGAAGACAAGACUGCUUUGUGUUUCCCAAAGCAAAGAGCCUGUUCACAAGGAGGUUACUUUUUUAGACAAACCCUAGUCCUGUGACACUGCCAAGGUCAGUAGGUGCCCAGCAGAGCACUGUGAAUUUGAGGCAGACAUGCUCUGGGAGAGGGGCACAGCUUUUCUCCCCCUCCAGAAUAUUUACAGUAUAUUAAUGGAGAGGAGAGAAAUUUGCUUUGCUCUGCCAUUUCACCUCUUCUCCGGGGAUGGAACAUGCAUCAGUUUGCCAAUGGAAGAGCUUCCAUCCAUCUUCCAUCUUUUUGGGACAGCAGCAUGGCCUCAGUGCUGUGGUAGUCUCUCAUGCUGUUUUGGGAAGCGAGGGAUGUGCUGCUGCCAUUCUGCAACUCAGAAAACAGGGAAAGCAAGGACAAGUCACAGGCAGGAUCCUGGAGAGAUUCUCAUGGCAGUGGGGAAGUCAGUGAGUGGGUGGGUGACCCACUGCUGAGUGACCAUCUCACUGAUGGUGGGUGACCAUCUCUGCUGAGAUUCAAGUCCCACUUUGAGUACACAAACCCUACAUGACAGUGAUUUUUAAAGGGGUUUGGAUGACCAGUACAUUUUUAUGAUGUGUUUUGAGUGUUGGUUUCCUCUUUUCUGGAAUAGGCCCUGUACAGCCAGUUAAACUGAGCCUCUGCUGCUUGUCCUGGCUGCAUGUCUGGAACAGGUCAGUUCAGGGUCUGGGUGAGCUUUGCUUUCUUCAAGAACCAGACCGAAUUCAAAGUGAAUAGCUUGGCACAGGCACCUCAUUUUCAGGUGAGCAAGGUCUGGCUGCUGCAGCAAACUCAGGGGGGUCAGGAGGCUUUGAACUUCACCUCAGGCACUUAACUAAUUCCUCAGGGAUUGCAGUAUGUUCUGAAGUGUGAUCUUUAUGUCUCAGUUGUCUAUGAAAUGAAAAUGCUGGUUCAUCCUGAGAAAGGUUACAGUGUCUCACACACACACAGGAAAGGCAAGUGAAGUUCUUUCACUGUCUCUAAAGCACUGAGCUCUUGAGUCAUCCAGAGCCUGUGAAGACUCUGGUUAAGAGUUUUUAAGGGUACCUCAUUAGGGCUGAAUCCAGCACUGUCUGUAGUCACACACAGUCACUCAGUAUUCAUCUCUCAAAGGACAAACGUUGAGAACAAAGGAGUGGAAUCAACUGCACCGAAGACCUGAGGAGUUGAAUGUGAUGGGAACUGGAUUCCAAAACUAGCUGGAACAUGCAAGAGGACAAACCCUGAAGGGAAACACUCCAAAACCAGCCCCAAACACAUGCAGGAGUGUGGUGAGAGCAGACAAGGGAUGGGCAGAAGGUCUGAGCAGCAAUGGGGUGCUGGGUUCAGGUGCAGCCAGGGACUGAAAUCAGUGUCUGUAGGGGAACCACUGCAGGGAAUGAGCACCUGCCUCUGCAGCCCAUCACCAAGGGCAUGUUCAGCCCAGCAGUUCUGGACCUGCUUUAGGAGCUCCUCUGUCACCUUUGCCAGGAGUGUGGUAUCAGAGAAGAGUGUUGGGGCAAAACUGGAGGAGCUAUUUGCUUCAGUCUUCCUGUUUUAAUUUGCUGAGUUCAGAAAAUAUAAGGGUAGAAUGAGAAAUGUCAAAAGUAAAGUUGUGAAUCAGAUUUUGAAAAGGAAAUGAAGCAGAUGGUAGAAGGUUUCAGUUAGAUAAAUACAGAAGGGGAGAAAAGGAAAAACAUGGUCAUUAUAUAGGGAGAGUGUGAUUGAGAUUAGACUAGUCUACAUAUGGUCCAAAAUCAAUUAAAACCACUUUACCUACAUUUUCAGUAGAGAUUAUCAUAUUGGACAAUGGGGCAAAGAUGGGAUUUCUAGUAGGAACAUACUUAAGGGAAUGAAAAUUAUCACAUGUAAGACGGAAGGAAAAGCUUAAAGAAUUCCAUGUGCUCAGAUCAAGGUGCCCUGGCAGAUUUCCACCUCAGGAUUUGGAAAGAACUGGCACAUUAAAGGAGCUCAGCGUAACCUCAUAUUUCUCUUUGAUGACUGAUUUUUUUUUUUCCAAGACAAAUGAAAUACAGGUGAUAUACUCUAUCCAGACAUGAGUCAAGAAUCUGAUAUUACACCACAUGGGAAAUUAGUAGUUGAAGUUGAGAAGAUGGGGAUUAGUGUGGAUGGCAAAUGCAGAACUGCUAAAGCCAAGGACAGGGAGCUCUGUGGGAAGCAGAAAUGCUGGACAGAGAGUGGAACUCCUCAAGGGUCACUCUUGAGCCAGUCCUACUUAUUUUGUUGGCACAGCUGUAGGAAUGUCAUAAAGAAAUGUGCUGAGGACACGGGCUUUGCUAAUCCAGAGAAGGAUCAGAACAUCAAUCAGCAAUAACUUAAUGACAGAAUUUGAGAUAGAAUAGACAAAGUAUAAAGACAGGCAGUUAAAAAUUAAUCACUAGAAUAUCACAUUACUCACUUGAAAAGGACAAAAGCAGGGUGGUUAAAAAAAAACACAUAGAGAGAAUUACUUGCUCUGAGGGAUAACUGUGAGCCACCAAUCUGAUAUGCAAAGGCAAACACAGUCCUAGAAGAUACAGGUUCACUCAUGUUCAAGGAAGAUUAGCAGGUACAGAGAAGGGCAUUAAGGAUGAUCAGAGGGUUUAGAACAAGAGGAGACUAGAAGAGCUUCAUUUGUUUAGUUUCUCAAAACAAAGACUAGAGCAGAUAGGAUUGUUUUUGGUAAAUACAUCUGAUAGGUAAAGAUCAGAGAAAAAAAGAGAAUUGUUUAAACUAAAUUACGAUGCUGGCACAAGAACAAAUGAUAUUAGGGCUGGAAAUUUAAGAUGAAGUGUUGGAAUAGGCUGCCAAAAAGCAUGAUAUGAUGUAAUUGAUUGUGAUAGUGGGAUACUGGCUCAGUAAUGCUGAGCCCUGUGUUCCUAGAAACGUGCAGCAGAUGGGAUUUUGGCAAAGUGGGCACUGGCCUCUUACAGGGAGGAGGAGUCCUGUGCUGCCUGUGUGAGCAGGAGAAAGCAUAACUGGCCAGCCACCAGCUUUGGAAAUGGGGGAAAAAAAGGAAGCUUUGAUUUCAACAGCUAAAGUGAGGUCCUUCCCUACUCCUCCCCUAUGGGAACUGGCAAACUCAGCUCUUUAAUGGUUCAAGCUCAUCUCAGCCUUGCCUAUAAAUAGAUAAAUGAGAUUCCUCCUGUCCCAGUGAGUAAUUCUGACAUCCUCCCGCUGCCUCGGAGAGCUGAGUCACAGCACUCUGCACUCCAGUCCCUGCAUUACUUACAUGGUCUCAAAGGAAAUUUUAACACAUCCAAUGAAUCAUCAGGGAUUGGAUCAUGUUUAAAGUUAUUCCAUUGGCAUUUCCCUUCCAUUGUAGCAAGUCUGCCAAUACCUAAAACUCUGGCUAAUCUGGACUUGAAACGCAUUGAGGAAAUAGCAUGUUGACAUAUACAGCUACUAAUAAAAAUAAUAAUAAAAAGUCUUUUUAAAUUUGCACCAAAAAAACAAGUCAGCCUUAGUGGAUUCCUCUAGUGCUUUUGGACCUGCUAAUUUUGUCAGACUUCUCUUUUUUCUGUAGCUGCUUAUUUAAAGGAACUCAAAACUUGAAAUAUUUAAUAUUCAGUCAUUAGGCCCCUAAUUUAAUCUCCUGUAGAUUUCCUGCCAAAAUAUUAUUUGCACUGAGAUGAAGCUUGUAGCCCCACGCACAUUCUCUCUCAGAGACACACAUUCCUGGUCUUACCCAUGAUAAAGAUAAAAUGCCUGCAAAGCAAAGACAAAGGCAGAGCAGUGUUAAGUACAGAACACAGGGCAGUGAUACAUCACUGCCUGAGCCUCAUGGGGCACUGCCACUUGUCACCUUGCCUUCUCCAGGUGGUACAGAGUGGUCUCAUUGGCUUAGAAGCAACACAGCAUUUGAAAUCAGAACAUCUCUCUCUCUCUCCCUCCCUCAGAAAACAUCUGGAAGAGUGGAAAAUUCUCCAGCAGAAUUUGGGGGCUGUGAAACAAAUACAGAAAUAUUUCUCUCUGUUGGUUUUCUG